rnacentral:lncRNA from 1 species
UUAAGGCCAACUCCAGAGGGGAGACCUGACUGCAAUCAUGUUGUCAUUUGUAGGUUAAAGAGAAAUUAAGCAGAACAGGUACUUGGGAAGCUUUCUCCUCUAGAGCCUUGCACCCCACCUGACCAUAGACUUCAAAUGACUCUACAGGAAGCUACUAAACAACAUUCUUCUUUACUCCAAAGAACAUAGUUUCAAGGCAACUCUUGGUGGAUAAAAUCGUAACUUCAGCCAGACUAAUCUGAAUUCCAGAAUUUUCCACUGUGGCAUUUAAUGGAAGACAUUGAAAUGGCAAGGGAGCCUGAGAUGGGGUGAGCAUCAGAAGGGAAUUUUCUCAACUGUGUCAUGGCAGAUUAGCUGAAUUCCUCUCUAAGUGCCUAGAGGACAUUACCAAGGUAAGAGGAGAGUUUUAAAAUGAACUUGAGGGCAAUAAAGGGCAUCAGAUGAUAAAAAAUGAGUUGAUGUAGUUUUGGCACACAUUCAAAACCUUCAGCAUUUCACUAGAUUUUUUUUUCAUUAUCAUUGAGAAUGCACUUUAUAUUUCCCGAAGGGAAAGUGUCCUCAAACAGAACCAUUCAGAA